rnacentral:rRNA from 1 species
CCUACGGGUGGCAGCAGUGGGGAAUAUUGGACAAUGGGGGGAACCCUGAUCCAGCGACGCCGCGUGAGUGAAGAAGUCUUUCGGUAUGUAAAGCUCUAUCAGCAGGGAAGAAAGAAAUGACGGUACCUGACUAAGAAGCCCCGGCUAACUACGUGCCAGCAGCCGCGGUAAUACGGAGGGGGCAAGCGUUAUCCGGAUUUACUGGGUGUAAAGGGAGCGUAGACGGCGAGGCAAGUCUGAAGUGAAAGGCGGGGGCCCAACCUCCGGACUGCUUUGGAAACUGUAUGGCUGGAGUGCAGGAGAGGUAAGUGGAAUUCCUAGUGUAGCGGUGAAAUGCGUAGAUAUUAGGAGGAACACCAGUGGCGAAGGCGGCUUACUAGACUGUAACUGACGUUGAGGCUCGAAAGCGUGGGGAGCAAACAGGAUUAGAUACCCGUGUAGUC